UACGUAGGGAGCUAACGUUGUUCGGAAUUACUGGGCGUAAAGCGCGCGUAGGCGGGCAGAUAAGUUAAGGGUGAAAUUUUCAGGCUCAACCUGGAUCCCGCCCUUAAUACUGUUUGUCUUGAGUUACAUAGAGGCGGUCAGAAUUCCUGGUGUAGGGGUGAAAUCUGUAGAUAUCAGGAAGAAUACCAAUGGCGAAGGCAAGCCGCUGGGUGUACACUGACGCUAAAGCGCGAAAGCCAGGGGAG
rnacentral:rRNA from 1 species